UUGUUUUAUGAAACGAUAUAUAUGUAUCUUAAUUUAGGCAUUUCUAAGGAAAACAGAAUGGGAACAAAUGUUAUUCAAGUUGUUAUUGUAGCAUAUGUUUUGCCUCAAUUUCAGAUGCUGCCAUAGGGAUUGCCACCUACUACAAACCUACUACAAACCUCCUUAUGUUCCCUCUGCAUGUUAUGGAUAUGAGGAAGGAGGUAUUUAUAUAGCCGCAGCAAGUGAUAGUAUGUGGGAAACUGGGGCAGCAUGUGGGAAAUUAUACUCUGUAUCAUGUAUUGGUGCGACAAGCCACGUAGCACCACCACCUUGCAAGAACACUUUCAUUUUGGUUCCUAUCGUUGAUUAUUGCCCACCAGGAUGCCACGGAAACAUCAAUCUUUCGGAAGACGCUUUUUCUAUGAUUGCUGAUCUCAAUGCUGGAAGAAUUUUGGUUAACUAUACAGAGUACAUAUAGUAAUUAAGGUUCUUGAAACAAGAUUUCAACGGGUCUAGAUCUUCUUGACUUGAUUCUUGGCUUUCUUAGGUAGUUUUCAAUUUGAUUGUGGGUUCAAGGGAGAUCGAUCCCACGGAUUCACAUCAUUCAAUAUCAGAGCUCAGUACCAAAUCAAGUCUUAUAACUUUGGUUUGUGAUUCACUUAUAAUCAAUGGGUCGGGGUUUGUUACUUUAUACCUUCGGUUCGCAUUUUGUUUAUAAACGUUGAGUUGGGGUUUUCUAUCAUUUUAUCUUUUGUUUCUUGUUAUCAUCCUAUCUUCUUCCGUUUAUGUUUAUUAUUCCUUGUUCUUAUUUUGUGUGCACCAAGUUAAAAAAAAAGAAGAAGAAGAAGAAGAAGAAGAAAGACAGAGAGAGUGAAAAGAGACGUCAAAAAAAAGAAAAGAAGAAAAAAAAUAGAAAAAAAAAGAGAAGAGAGAGAGAAAAAAAAAAAGAACGAUUCUAAAGCGUACUUGGAACAAGAGAAGAAUGUGGAGUUGGUUUUUGAGAGCCACAACUACUCCAAGGAGAAAAAGAUGAAGAUUCGAGGUCGAAUCCUUUUGAAGAGAGGGAGAAUGAUGAGAAUCAACAAGCACUAUUAAAAGCAUGUUCCAGUUGGGCCUAUCACUAGAACAAAAUUCAAGAAGAUCCAAGAAGAUCAAGGUAGCACUUAAUGGCGAUGCGAUCCACUUGGGCCGAGUUUACUAAUUUAUCAAGCAAGAUCCUAAAAUUCAAUAUGGGCUUGAAAGAAGAUGAACUAGCUUUAAUGCAUGUGAUCCAAGCUACAAAAGGAUAAUAUUAUUGAUAAGUAUAAUAUUAUGGUAGAUAUGUUUAAUAGUUGAGUUGGAAUGAAAUUCUAACUUAUUAGGAUUAGAUUAUCUACUAUAUUUUAGUGGAUUGACAAGGAUCAUAUUAGAGUAAGAGGUGGAGUUGGAAUAGAAUACCAACUCAUUAGUGUUACA